rnacentral:rRNA from 1 species
GUCUGAACCAGCCACGUCGCGUGAAGGAAGACGGCCCUACGGGUUGUAAACUUCUUUUGUAAGGGAAUAAAGUGUAGUACGUGUACUAUUUUGCAUGUACCUUACGAAUAAGGAUCGGCUAACUCCGUGCCAGCAGCCGCGGUAAUAC